rnacentral:rRNA from 1 species
UACCGUGAAAAAAUUAGAGUGUUCAAAGCAGGCAGAUCCAAUUUUCUGCCACCGAAUACAUUAGCAUGGGAUAAUGGAAUAGGACCCUGUCCUCCUAUUUUCAGUUGGUUUUGGCAGCGCGAGGACUAGGGUAAUGAUUAAUAGGGAUAGUUGGGGGCAUUAAUAUUUAAUUGUCAGAGGUGAAAUUCUUGGAUUUAUGAAAGAUUAACUUCUGCGAAAGCAUCUGCCAAGGAUGUUUUCAUUAAUCAAGAACGAAAGUUAGGGGAUCGAAGACGAUCAGAUACCGUCGUAGUCUUAACCAUAAACGAUGCCGACCAGCGAUUAGGAGACGUUGAAUACAAAACACCACCAUCGGUGCGGUCGUCCUUGGCGUCGGUCUUUCGGGGCCGGCGCGGGGACGGCUUAGCCCGGUGGCACCGGUGA